CGGCCGCGGUAUCCUGACCGUGCGAAGGUAGCAUAAUCAUUUGUUCUUUAAAUAGGGACUAGUAUCAACGGCAUCACGAGGGUUAUACUGUCUCCUCUCUCCAAUCAGUGAAACUGAUCUCCCCGUGAAGAAGCGGGGAUGAAUCUAUAAGACGAGAAGACCCCAUGGAGCUUUAAACUCAACAACAACCUCCUCUAAAUAUUCUACACAAUUAUGGAAGUUCUGUUUGUUAGUUUUGGGUUGGGGUGACCGCGGAGAAAAAUUAAACCUCCACGACGAAUGGAAUUAACUCCUAAUCUAAGAGCCACCACUCUAAGAAUCAAUAAAUUGACAUAACAUGAUCCGAUAGUCGAUCAACGGACCAAGUUACCCUGGGGAUAACAGCGCAAUCCAUUUCAAGAGCUCCUAUCGACAAAUGGGUUUACGACCUCGAUGUUGGAUCAGGGUAUCCCAGUGGUGCAGCCGCU
rnacentral:rRNA from 1 species